CCGAAUCUCAAAUCCACCAUACCUUACGAACAUCCGGAAGUGAAUGAACCUGGAUAUGCGCAUUAAUGCUAGUCAGUACGGCGUGCACGCGUAUUUACAGUAAAUACAUAAACGUGACAUCACCACGUUACUGCCCGCGCACACGUCGACCAGAGGAGAGCGAGACCGCGCCCAUCAUCGCGCUUCAUCGGGAAAUCCUUGGCAGCGCUGCAUAGGAUUUGUUUAAGAAUGUGUCCAAAUAAGUGUUUUUGGAUGUGAGGGAAAGUUUACCGUGUUCAGCUUCACAAAGAACCCAUCGUUACACAAACAGUAGAUGCAGUUUGUUUUUCCUGGGCAGCAAAAGAGUGUAGCAAGUGCGUUUGAUGAAUGUUUUAUAAACAAGGCCUAGGUUGACGCUGGAUUUGCACAUCGUUUGCUAUUACAAUAUGGAGCGGUCCCAGGGAUAAAAGACCCCAUUUUCUGCAAAAUACAAUGAGUUCUGUGUGCCAUAUUCACUGACCCAGUGCCUAUGGUGCAGUGAGAUAUUUAAAGACUGUCCACCUGGGUAUGAGGGGAAUGAGUCCUGUGUGGGUUUUAUUCAUCCAAAGAAUUUGAGGGCUACUGCUCGGCUGACUGUUUUAUCAGUGAUGGAGGAGGUGGUGGUGUGCUGUUCUCCUGGACAACUUCACUCCGCAAAUCGCUCAACCACUGAGGGGAGGAGCUUCACCAUUCAAAAGGCAAUGCCUUCAGGGAGAGUAGCAGGUUAUUUGUGCACAUACAUUCAUUAAGAAGAACUAAUAAUUACAUAUGUGUGUACAUGCAGAGGUAAUUUUUUCUAGUUGUUACAGCUACAUAGUUGUUCAGAUAUGAAAUUGAAGGGAUUAUGUACAAGUACUAUAUUGGUCAGCACAGUGGAUCAUUUCAUAUAUAGCUAUCAGUUAACAUCAGCAUCAGAGACAUUUAAAAACAUUUAAAUGCGAGUGUAUGAAAUAACUUCUGUUUGCGAUCCAAUGUGGAUUCUGUUCACCAUAUAAGACAAAAGAUAUCCAUGUGGUUCAUACCAGCUGCUGUCAGGACUCCUUGUGCAUACAAAAAACUCACUGGGUUAUUACAAUUAAUGGCAAAAUGAAUGUUUGGAAAUGUAAACUGAUAUUUCCAACUGACACACUACAGCAAAAAGAUAGAAAAAAAUAGCUUAAAACCAUUUUUUCAGUGUGAAAAUACUAACAUGCCUAAGACUAUAUUUAAUAUUUUACUAGUAGUAUUAUAAAAUAAACAUAAAUCUUUAUUUUUUUUCUUAU